CCUCCAGAUCCUCAACUUCCUGCAAUCAUGAGAUGAGAUAAAAAGAGAGACACAGAUACCACUGAAAGAGGAUAUGAGGUCUUUUCAGGACCACAGUGAUGCUGAUGCCACCGAGCUGUGGAGGAUCUUCAACUCUUGCAUCAGUGUGUUAAUCUGUUGGGGUUUUGUCUCUGUGUAGUUUGUUCUCUCCUCCAUGGCUGGACUUCAAGUGUAACUGAAUACAGCUAUAACACAGUUCAUAAAUAGAAUUAGUCUGUUGCUAACCUUUUUGAAAAUUAGUUUUGAUUGUUAAUAUAAUUUAGAUGUACUUGUAUUUAAGUGUUUACUUUUUGAAAACAUUUUUGUGAGUCUUUUCUGAAGAAUAAUCAAAACUCUGGAUGGAUUUUGAUUGAAAUUUGAUCAUUUAUUUACAUAGUUGAUUAUCUGUUAUUUAAAAUGGCAAUUGGAUGACAUUUUUGGAAGGCAUUCAAAACAAAAUGUUGAAAGGUUGUUUUCACGUGGUUAAUUUAUUCACAUGGCAUUAUGGUAUUUGAAAUUAUCAGAGGGGAGGUUUUUGUUCUUUGUUCAAUAAAUAAAUGAUCGUGAAACAUGA